GAUGAACGCUGGCGGCGUGCCUAAUACAUGCAAGUCGAGCGAACAGACGAGGAGCUUGCUCCUCUGACGUUAGCGGCGGACGGGUGAGUAACACGUGGAUAACCUACCUAUAAGACUGGGAUAACUUCGGGAAACCGGAGCUAAUACCGGAUAAUAUAUUGAACCGCAUGGUUCAAUAGUGAAAGACGGUUUUGCUGUCACUUAUAGAUGGAUCCGCGCCGCAUUAGCUAGUUGGUAAGGUAACGGCUUACCAAGGCAACGAUGCGUAGCCGACCUGAGAGGGGGAUCCGGCCCACUGGAACUGAGACACCGUCCAGACUCCUACGGGGGGCCACAGGUGGGAAUCCUGCGCAAAGGGGGAAAGCCUGACCGGAGAAAGGCGGCGGAGUGAAGAAGGGCCUCCGGACGGAAAACCCCUUUAAUAGGGAAGAAACAAAGGGUAAAGAAACAAGGACGGUUUGAAGGGAACUUAACAAGAAGCCACGGCUAAAUUCGUG
rnacentral:rRNA from 1 species